UACGUAGGUGGCGAGCGUUGUCCGGAAUUACUGGGUGUAAAGGGCGUGUAGGCGGGACUGUAAGUCAGAUGUGAAAUUCCAAGGCUUAACCUUGGCGCUGCAUCUGAAACUAUGGUUCUUGAGUGCUGGAGAGGAAAGCGGAAUUCCUAGUGUAGCGGUGAAAUGCGUAGAUAUUAGGAGGAACACCAGUGGCGAAGGCGGCUUUCUGGACAGUAACUGACGCUGAGGCGCGAAAGCAUGGGGAGCGAACAGG
rnacentral:rRNA from 1 species